GGCGAAAGCCUGAUCCAGCCAUGCCGCGUGUGUGAAGAAGGUCUUCGGAUUGUAAAGCACUUUAAGUUGGGAGGAAGGGCAGUAAAUUAAUACUUUGCKGUUUUGACGUUACCGACAGAAUAAGCACCGGCUAACUCCGUGCCAGCAGCCGCGGUAAUACGGAGGGUGCAAGCGUUAAUCGGAAUUACUGGGCGUAAAGCGCGCGUAGGUGGUUUGUUAAGUURGAUGUGAAAUCCCCGGGCUCAACCUGGGAACUGCAUUCGAAACUGGCAAGCUAGAGUAUGGUAGAGGGUGGUGGAAUUUCCUGUGUAGCGGUGAAAUGCGUAGAUAUMKGAAGGAACACCAGUGGCGAAGGCGACCACC
rnacentral:rRNA from 1 species